UACAACAUUCAAAACCCUAAGUUCCUAAUGAUCUCUCUCCAACUCUCCCUCUCUCGUUCUCUGCCUCCCAUCAAAACCUCCACCCACCCCGCCCUCCUUCUCUUCUCCGGCGUCGUCGGCCGCGGUGCCUGGAUCCAGCGAAGCCGUGCCUCUAUUUCUCCUCAUAUCUCAACAGAUUUUCACCUCUCUCCUUCUCAUCCCUCAAUUCCUCAGUUCGUGCCCUAGAUCUUCUUCCAAAAUGUUGUCACCUCAAGGAUCUCCGCCACGAUUAGCUCCGGCGAGGCUGGCUGCCGCCGCCUCUGAAAUUGGCGAGGCAAUCGUCAUCCCCUGUUCUUACCGAUGGAGGCGAGGCGGUGCUUUGUCCUUGGCCUCGGCCGAUGAUUAUAGCAGUCAAUGUCGCGCCUCUCUCUCUCUCUCUCUCUCUCUCUCUCUCUCUCCCAUCGUCCUUCUCGGUCUUCAGCACCCCAAAUCCUAAACCCUAGGUUGUCGCAGGUGGCCUAUCAUCGAAGCCUCUCAGGAAAUCCAACUUUCCCUUCACGACCUAUCUCGCGCUCCUCUCUUUUUUCCCCAAAUCUAGAAACCUAGGUCAUUUGUCGCCACCGCCACCGCCUCCAUCGGUAGUCGCCUCCCUCGCACUGAAAUACUCGAAUUUUGAAGGCGGAGGCCCUCUCUCUCUCAGAUAAUAUGCACAAAUUGGGUUCCUGAACUCUGCACAAUUCUCUCCUUAUCUAUCUCCACUCUCCAACUCCAGUUGAGACUGUAUUCCAUGAAUUUGGCCAUGCUCUUCAGCAUAUGCUGAAGAGGCAGGAUGAGGGUUUUGCUGGUAUAAGGAAUGUAGAGUGGGAUGCCGUGGAAACAAGGCAGGAUGAGUUUUGGGAGGAUGGCAAGAUCUUUAGCUAAUUUUCUUUACAAAGGCAUUGCUGCAUUUUCAGCUGCUAGUUCAACUGUAAGUUUAUUUAGUUUUAUGUUUGCUUGAAUAUCUCUAAACUACGCAUUUUUUCAUAGCUUGUGAGCAGCUUAAUUGCAUCACCUUUCUCAUUUCCUAACAGAUUGGUUAAAUAGGAAGCAUGAUCAGCUUCAGUAUUCUUAUUGCAUGAGCGAAAAUUGUUAGUUUAUUCACUCAACUUAUUUUUCCAUUAUCAUAUAAAAUUUUAACUUGUAAUUAGUUUUAUUUUUCUGUUUUAAUAUCUGAUGAACUGUUACAUUUAAUGGCAAUAUACUUGUGAAUAUGUGUUGAACCAAGAAUUAGUUUAUCAGUAUAUAGUCUUUCAACCUGUACUAAAUGCAUG